AGGCAAUCUGGCUGAGAUACCUGUCACAUAAGUGAUUGCCUGGGUUGACUCUACUGAUCUGAUUUGCUAAGCUGGUGUCUCUCUCACAGUUUCACAUGCUCCUCUGUCAAAGCACACUAAAUCAAAGAGGAUGAGCAUCUUGAAUAGAGAAGUACUGAUUUUUGGGUCAAGAACAUUUGACUAGCUGUACUCCCCUGGUAGAACCUCCAAACAAGCCCUCACAGUCCAUUUUCUCCUUCAUAUUGAGUUUUCAGCUACAUCACUAUAAU
rnacentral:snRNA from 1 species